rnacentral:misc_RNA from 1 species
UUUGCCUGGUAAUGCUAGAGUUGGCAUAGGAUGGCCCCACGUCAUGGCUACCAAAUUCUGAUCCAACAUCAACCUUUGGAUCAUAAGCAGGAAACCGAGUCUGCAGUGGAACAACUUCCUCAUUGGUAAUCUGCUUCAAAUAAUCUUCCAGAUCACCAGUACUAAAAAUGGCGGUGUCAUCAAGUAGCACUCCACGUGAAUGUACACUAACCGCCUCCUGUCUCACUUCCUGAAUUGCAUCCUCCAGUCUCACUUCCUGAAUUGCAUCCUCCAGUCUCACUUCCUGAAUUG